UACUUAUGUGUGAGUGAUCUGGGACUGUCGUCAAAAUUUGACAGUCUCGGACUCAACAUAAUGCUGAUGACAACAAUUUGCUUGGCGAAUUGCACGUCGAGGAUUAUCUUGAAGUUUUGGCAUAUGUGGACAGUUGGACAGUGUUGUUAUUAGAAUCAUUCCUCGACAAAGCUUCCAAUUCUACCUUUCAGAUUUGUUAUAACAGAUGCAAACCUUAUAUUUUCAAUUCUAACGUGACUUGUUACGGUUUUACAAAAUCUUCAGCGCGGAACAUGCACUUAGUGAUGAUGGAUAUCACCAGAAUCUUCUUUGGAGAAGUUACUAGCACAGGACACGUGGCCAUAGUCGACUAGCGCGAGAAGUACCUAAGAGAAUUCAACGAAAACAAAAUAUUUCAAUUCAUUUAAAAAAAAUUCAAAUAAAUUUUUAUUUUUGGUGUA